UACGUAGGGUGCAAGCGUUGUCCGGAAUUAUUGGGCGUAAAGAGCUCGUAGGCGGUUUGUCGCGUCUGCUGUGAAAACUGGAGGCUCAACCUCCAGCCUGCAGUGGGUACGGGCAAACUAGAGUGCGGUAGGGGAGAUUGGAAUUCCUGGUGUAGCGGUGGAAUGCGCAGAUAUCGGGAGGAACACCGAUGGCGAAGGCAGAUCUCUGGGCCGUAACUGACGCUGAGGAGCGAAAGCAUGGGGAGCGGACAGG
rnacentral:rRNA from 1 species